UGGUUGGUCAGCCAGAGAGACAAAGGGAAGGGAGAUCUGGAGCCUUCAAUAAAUCCUGCAGUGAGGUACUCGGGAUGCUCCUGACUCAGCAGAAUUCCCAACUCCUGUUUUGUUCAUCACCACAUUGAAGACAUUUGGCCAGAGAGAGGUGGAGAGUGAGAUCUGGAGAAUUCAGUAAAUCCUGCAGUGAGGUACAAAAACGAUUCUGUAAGAGAGCAGUGUAGAAUGGGAUGUUAUAAACCUCAGCUGAGGCUUGAGGCCUACCAUUACCUGGGAUACACAAAGGGAGAGAACCUGAGAGAGAGCAGCACAGAUCGGGAGAAUAUAAAUCACCGCGGAUCGAGGCCGACUGAAACUUGGAGUUGGA